UACGUAGGGGGCAAGCGUUGUCCGGAAUCAUUGGGCGUAAAGAGCGUGUAGGCGGUCCGGUAAGUCGGCUGUGAAAGUCCAGGGCUCAACCCUGGGAUGCCGGUCGAUACUGCCGGACUAGAGUUCGGAAGAGGCGAGUGGAAUUCCCGGUGUAGCGGCGAAAUGCGCAGAUAUCGGGAGGAACACCUAUGGCGAAGGCAGCUCGCUGGGACGUUACUGACGCUGAGACGCGAAAGCGUGGGGAGCAAACAGG
rnacentral:rRNA from 1 species